AGUGGGGAAUAUUGCACAAUGGGCGGAAGCCUGAUGCAGCGACGCCGCGUGAGGGAUGACGGCCUUCGGGUUGUAAACCUCUUUCAGCAGGGACGAAGCGCAAGUGACGGUACCUGCAGAAGAAGCGCCGGCCAACUACGUGCCAGCAGCCGCGGUAAGACGUAGGGCGCGAGCGUUGUCCGGAUUUAUUGGGCGUAAAGAGCUCGUAGGCGGCUUGUCGCGUCGAAUGUGAAAUCUCGGGGCUCAACUCCGAGCUUGCAUUCGAUACGGGCAGGCUAGAGUUCGGUAGGGGAGACUGGAAUUCCUGGUGUAGCGGUGAAAUGCGCAGAUAUCAGGAGGAACACCGGUGGCGAAGGCGGGUCUCUGGGCCGAUACUGACGCUGAGGAGCGAAAGCGUGGGGAGCGAA
rnacentral:rRNA from 1 species